UUAAGCGACUAAGCGUACACGGUGGAUGCCCUGGCAGUCAGAGGCGAUGAAGGACGUGCUAAUCUGCGAUAAGCGUCGGUAAGGUGAUAUGAACCGUUAUAACCGGCGAUUUCCGAAUGGGGAAACCCAGUGUGAUUCGUCACACUAUCAUUAACUGAAUCCAUAGGUUAAUGAGGCGAACCGGGGGAACUGAAACAUCUAAGUACCCCGAGGAAAAGAAAUCAACCGAGAUUCCCCCAGUAGCGGCGAGCGAACGGGGAGCAGCCCAGAGCCUGAAUCAGUGUGUGUGUUAGUGGAAGCGUCUGGAAAGGCGCGCGAUACAGGGUGACAGCCCCGUACACAAAAAUGCACAUGCUGUGAGCUCGAUGAGUAGGGCGGGACACGUGGUAUCCUGUCUGAAUAUGGGGGGACCAUCCUCCAAGGCUAAAUACUCCUGACUGACCGAUAGUGAACCAGUACCGUGAGGGAAAGGCGAAAAGAACCCCGGCGAGGGGAGUGAAAAAGAACCUGAAACCGUGUACGUACAAGCAGUGGGAGCACGCUUAGGCGUGUGACUGCGUACCUUUUGUAUAAUGGGUCAGCGACUUAUAUUCUGUAGCAAGGUUAACCGAAUAGGGGAGCCGAAGGGAAACCGAGUCUUAACUGGGCGUUAAGUUGCAGGGUAUAGACCCGAAACCCGGUGAUCUAGCCAUGGGCAGGUUGAAGGUUGGGUAACACUAACUGGAGGACCGAACCGACUAAUGUUGAAAAAUUAGCGGAUGACUUGUGGCUGGGGGUGAAAGGCCAAUCAAACCGGGAGAUAGCUGGUUCUCCCCGAAAGCUAUUUAGGUAGCGCCUCGUGAAUUCAUCUCCGGGGGUAGAGCACUGUUUCGGCAAGGGGGUCAUCCCGACUUACCAACCCGAUGCAAACUGCGAAUACCGGAGAAUGUUAUCACGGGAGACACACGGCGGGUGCUAACGUCCGUCGUGAAGAGGGAAACAACCCAGACCGCCAGCUAAGGUCCCAAAGUCAUGGUUAAGUGGGAAACGAUGUGGGAAGGCCCAGACAGCCAGGAUGUUGGCUUAGAAGCAGCCAUCAUUUAAAGAAAGCGUAAUAGCUCACUGGUCGAGUCGGCCUGCGCGGAAGAUGUAACGGGGCUAAACCAUGCACCGAAGCUGCGGCAGCGACGCUUAUGCGUUGUUGGGUAGGGGAGCGUUCUGUAAGCCUGCGAAGGUGUGCUGUGAGGCAUGCUGGAGGUAUCAGAAGUGCGAAUGCUGACAUAAGUAACGAUAAAGCGGGUGAAAAGCCCGCUCGCCGGAAGACCAAGGGUUCCUGUCCAACGUUAAUCGGGGCAGGGUGAGUCGACCCCUAAGGCGAGGCCGAAAGGCGUAGUCGAUGGGAAACAGGUUAAUAUUCCUGUACUUGGUGUUACUGCGAAGGGGGGACGGAGAAGGCUAUGUUGGCCGGGCGACGGUUGUCCCGGUUUAAGCGUGUAGGCUGGUUUUCCAGGCAAAUCCGGAAAAUCAAGGCUGAGGCGUGAUGACGAGGCACUACGGUGCUGAAGCAACAAAUGCCCUGCUUCCAGGAAAAGCCUCUAAGCAUCAGGUAACAUCAAAUCGUACCCCAAACCGACACAGGUGGUCAGGUAGAGAAUACCAAGGCGCUUGAGAGAACUCGGGUGAAGGAACUAGGCAAAAUGGUGCCGUAACUUCGGGAGAAGGCACGCUGAUAUGUAGGUGAAGUCCCUCGCGGAUGGAGCUGAAAUCAGUCGAAGAUACCAGCUGGCUGCAACUGUUUAUUAAAAACACAGCACUGUGCAAACACGAAAGUGGACGUAUACGGUGUGACGCCUGCCCGGUGCCGGAAGGUUAAUUGAUGGGGUUAGCGCAAGCGAAGCUCUUGAUCGAAGCCCCGGUAAACGGCGGCCGUAACUAUAACGGUCCUAAGGUAGCGAAAUUCCUUGUCGGGUAAGUUCCGACCUGCACGAAUGGCGUAAUGAUGGCCAGGCUGUCUCCACCCGAGACUCAGUGAAAUUGAACUCGCUGUGAAGAUGCAGUGUACCCGCGGCAAGACGGAAAGACCCCGUGAACCUUUACUAUAGCUUGACACUGAACAUUGAGCCUUGAUGUGUAGGAUAGGUGGGAGGCUUUGAAGUGUGGACGCCAGUCUGCAUGGAGCCGACCUUGAAAUACCACCCUUUAAUGUUUGAUGUUCUAAC
rnacentral:rRNA from 1 species